rnacentral:rRNA from 1 species
ACACGAGUGGCGAACGGGUGAGUAACACGUGGGUGACCUGCCCUGCACUUCGGGAUAAGCCUGGGAAACUGGGUCUAAUACCGGAUAGGACCGCACCGUGAGGGUGUGGUGGAAAGUUUUUUCGGUGUGGGAUGGGCCCGCGGCCUAUCAGCUUGUUGGUGGGGUAAUGGCCUACCAAGGCGGCGACGGGUAGCCGGCCUGAGAGGGUGGACGGCCACAUUGGGACUGAGACACGGCCCAGACUCCUACGGGAGGCAGCAGUGGGGAAUAUUGCACAAUGGGCGGAAGCCUGAUGCAGCGACGCCGCGUGGGGGAUGACGGCCUUCGGGUUGUAAACUCCUUUCACCAUCGACGAAGGGUUUCUGACGGUAGAUGGAGAAGAAGCACCGGCUAACUACGUGCCAGCAGCCGCGGUAAUACGUAGGGUGCGAGCGUUGUCCGGAAUUACUG